GGGGUGUAGCUCAGCUGGGAGAGCAUUACGUUCGCAACGUAGGGGUCGAGGGUUCGAAUCCCUUCAUCUCC
rnacentral:tRNA from 2 species